AUAAACUACUGCUGUUUUUGAAAGUGUCAUAAAGAUACAGGUCGGUUAUGCUGCUCCCCUGGACGGGUUUCCAUUGGUAAUAAAUGGUUUUCUGAGAGAUUUGAGUUAAAGCUCUUAUGUAAAUAGAGAGAGGCUUACAUAAUGCUCUUUAAACUAGAACUUUGAAGACAAUCUGCAGUAGGCAUAUGAAAUCUGUUUGUGCUGCAAAUGGCAUCUGAAAACUGACAGGAAACCAUCCAAGACGCGGUUUAAGAAAACAGGAAGAAUAAACACCCACGGUGCAAACUUCUGAUCAAUCAUUUUACCAAACUUCAACCACGACUAGAGAAUAUGUAAGAAGUGUGUCCUGGGGCUUAUAAUAAUGCCACUAGCCACAGUAUGUUUUCAGGAGCGCCCAAGAACAUUAUUCAUUGUAAAUUUCUAUGUAAAUUAUCCAGGGGCAGGGGCAUUGCUUUGGUCCGCCCAAGAGUCAGAUGGCGCGGGUUCCCUCCCUGUGAGUUUCGACAGUGCAUCAUCUUACGGAAGAGGCUAAACUAGUAUUGAUUUUCCACUUUCUAAAAGGAGUAACCAUUUGGAGCAAAGGCAAGCUCUCAGGGACGCGGGGGUUGAUAGGGGGCAGGUCUGCGAAAAAGAGAAACACUUCAAACAGCGCUGCGGAGAGUGGGGGAUGGAGCUGUGGGGAGCGAGCGGAGGCUUCUCUCUGCCCAAGUAGUGGGGCUGCAAAGUUCCUGCCACAACGGCUGAGACGUUCUGAUUCUGUGGACCUGCCAGGAGAGGCGUUUCCCUUGCCAAAAUAGAGCCUUCUUAGGAGAGGUUUAUGUAUUGUUCGGGAAGGCAGGAGUAUCUUCUAGUCGUUUUCACUCUCCUCCACCUUUAUUACCCUGAAUCCUUAGGCCCUCCCCUCGGAACCCCUUCAAAGUGGAGAGGGAGCGUGGGAGGGAGAGAGCGCGCGCCAAGUUUCAAAUGUCGCCAGUCUUUCCAGAAGCCCCUGGCUCUCGCAGGACUGGGUGCAGGCGCCUCUCCGGGCCUCGGAGCCCCGCCCCGCCUCCCCAUCCCCACAAUCCCAAGGCUCCAGGCUCUGCAGGGAACCGCGGCGGGAAUUUUCCAGCCUCAAAUACGGGGCGGACUAAUUUUCAGGUCCACUCCAACCCAGAGAUCGGAUUCCACUUGAUCUUGGAGUUCGCGAAGUAACUGCCAAGUCAGAGCGUGCGUUCCGCAGUGCGCGGUGGCUGCGCGGCGCUGGCUCUUGCUGUGGGGCAGACAGCAGAGGACCAGGGGCGAGUCGGCAGCGGGAGGAGCCGCCUGGCCAGGAGCCUCGGACAGUGUCUCCCCGUCCCGAACCCCUUCCCGCCACCUCCUCCACCCCCCGCCCCGCAUUCCCCCCGGGGCGACCCUCCCUCCACCUGCGGACUGCCCCAAGGAAUGGAAAACCUGCACUCAGAAGCCACCCCCCACCCCGCCUCUGCCGUAUCUGCUAACUUUGCUAACACUCCCCUUCCCCUGCCUUGUAAGUCACUAUUUACGACCGCGUCGACUCGCGCUCACGCACGCCUGCCCUUUUCUCCAGAAGCCUGAAAGUGGCUGAAUUCAAACACUGACACGUGAAAACUCUAUUCUGAGUGACUUAGAAUCUCCCGCUUUGAGGUUUUAAUCUUGAUCCGCCGGUCCUGCCCAAAGUUCAGAGCAGCUGUCCGAAAGGUCCCCGCAUUUGCUGUCCCUAGGAAAGGUGAGGCUAGGAGGAAGGGGGAGGCAACGCAGGGAAUGUGAGAGGACUGGGGCCACACUGUGUAUCUAGGAGGAAACUCUGAAUCCUAAUCUCAAGAAUGUAAGUCUUUGCGCAGUUUCCAAAUCGAGUCCAUUUAGCAGCUUUCUUCGGAGCCCGGGUACCCCAAGUGGCAACUUAGGAACUGGGAGAAGGAACGUGCCACCACCGACCACCUAUCCUGGUGGGAGGAGGUACUGCUCCCCCCUACUCCUCCCUUUUCCCUGCUCCCUCUCCAUCAGCAACAGGUUGUCAAGUUGAGGAGACAUCCCCUCCAAACUCUCUCACUCCCCACUUGUGGCCGAGGCCUGCCCUGUGUUCAUCCCAGACAGUCAGGCAGACGCUGAGCUGUCCGCGUCGGCGUGGGCGCCUGUGGCCAGCGUAUUGUGAGAUUUCUAAAUGUCAGGGCACUGUUAAGGAAAUGUCUGACAAACCUGUAGUAAACCUCUUCACGAAGGAAAGGAGGGCUGUUGUCUUGGCUUUUGGUUGUGUGUCCCUCAUGGCCCCCAAGAAAACAAUUUUUCUGUUCCAAACACUCUUUGGAUCAAGUUUCGUCCUUGCAUUUCUAGUUUAGGCGUUUCUACUAGAAACGAAUGUGUGGUGCGUUUUGGUUGGGCAUUACUUGCAGGUGUCUUGCCGCUUAAGUUUCCUGGACUGAGACGUUGACUGGUGACCUAGGCUUGUUUGGGGCAGCUGUAAAAGGUCCCUGUAACGCUCCAGGUCUACCUGGGGACCGCCCACCAACUCCCUGGUCUCCAAUUAUCAUUGUUAGUGCAAGGUGGAGAACGAGCUUAAUUCUUUAAUAUGACCUCCUAUUUUGAUUCAGUCGAGGAAAGAAAGGAAAACAGUGGAGAUGGUGGCUAGACACCCCCAAACUCUGACUUCGGAGAAGGAAAAUCCUCAACUACUGCCUCUCAGCACUUUGCAUUGUAUUCCUGAAACCUGGAAAUGAAAAUAGAAAUUGUUUGAUGUAUGAGGAGACGUUAUCUAAUUAGGGCGUAAGAAAUUUAAUCUUUCCAGCAAGCAGGUCAUAUAAUUAAUGUUAAUUUAACGCUCAAAUUCUCAGUCAUUAAAUUUUAUUCUCUUAAAUGUAGUUUGGCAUGGGCCCCUGAUCCAUGGCAAUGGAUUUUACUGGAUGUGAGAGCGCUCUUGGUCUUAGGAGUGACUCACCACAAACCCACCCUUCCCAAUAACAAGAUCACAUCAUGUAUGCAUUAUUAAGCCACAUAAUUGAACGGUCCAUAGUUUGCAUAUCAGACUAUUAAAAUAAUGUGUUUUGCUUUUCUCUGAACACGUAUUGUUCAAGCCUCUGCGAGUAUGUAGUGAUUCUGAUAAUUACCUCCAAACUACUGCAAAUAUUCACUUCAUUAACAUGAUUUCUUUCAAGCAUUUUUUUAAAAUGUGGAUAUCAUUGUGAAUUAAGAGACUUUUUACAAAGUUAUGUGAACUUUUUUAAAAAAGGAAUUUGUCAUUGGAAAGGAAAGCAUAUAUUUUAAAUGGAGGAUGUAGAAAAAUGCUUUGACUAUGCCUUUCAAAUGGCUUCCUAAGAUCAAAUAAAAGUUUUUCUGUCCAGUUUUUCAUGCUACUUCUAGGCAAAAGGCAGACAGAAAGAAACAAAGAGAGAUGGGGCUGACUUUCAAAGUCACAGGAGAGUAAGAGAGAAUCAAUUUUUCAAGUUCCAACUAUCCACGUCCUUCUGGCCGUUCUGCCGCUGGUAUUGCCGCUCCUCUGUACACUGUCCGCGCCGCGUGCGGGUCCCUCUGCUAGGACCGCGCCUUCAACGCGGAAUCGCUGACAUGAGCCCAGACGGAGAAGGGGUUUCAACUACUGAGAAGGCAUAAGUUGGAGAAAGUUGUGGGAUUUUUCCUAAACAAAAUAGGGACAGGAAAACAGUUGGGCUGGGGGACGAAAUGGGGAGGGUAGCUGGGGCUUUCUGCCUGCUCCAGCAGUAAGCUGCUUGGCCAUUCCCCGCGGGGCCGGCCCCCCUUCCCUUGCUCAGUGCCCAGGUCCUCCGGGCCCUUCUCCUCGAGCCCGCAGUCGGCUCUCAGGGAAAGGGUGCCAGGCCCCAGGCGGCACUUUUAUUUUGGUUAAGAGGAGGGAGGGCUGCUCCCAGGCCCGAGGGAGGCGAACUGAGCCUUUCUGUUUGGAUUUCCCUCCUCGCUAUAGCAACCAGCAGCAUCCGGACAAAAAUGCGCCCUCCCUGGACAAUGGCCCGGCCUCCUGCUUCUCGCCCUCGUCUUCCUCCCCCGGAUCCCAGCCAGGACCUGCCUAGGCGCUCUUCGACCACGGAACAUCCCUCCCCGCCACCCCCACCUCCAUCCUUUCCAUAGCAGUCUCUCCCCGGGUCAGUCCAGGGCGCUGGGAAGCCUUAGCUCUCGCUUUCUACCCCCACUGAUCCCCCCACGCGGGCCGAGGCUAGGACACAGGACCUCACUACCGAGUUCGGGGGCUCCCGCAGGGGAGUUCCCUGCAGGGAUUGUGUGGGUGUUUGGAUGGCCCUGAGGAGUAACUCCAGCUUUUUCCAGGGUUAAAAAUAUAUAUAUUAGAAAAAUGCAUUGAGCAGACUACACUUCUCCCCUGCCCAACACACACACACCACACACACACACAUAUUAAUAUAAGCACCCCAGACCGAAGUACUAGGCAUGAUCUCUGACUUUCUUUCACUCUCCCAAGGUUAAUUAAGUUCCCUUCCACGAACUGAGCUCCGUGCCUAUUCAUUAUUCUCUCCCUCUGACCUAGGGCGUUAAUAUGAUCAGGCCUAUGACUCGGCCGUGUUCUGUUUUCCUAUUUUGCAUUUAAUGCUGGGACCCGGCUGCCCUAGAUUACCAUCGAAAACUCUCAGAAAAGACAAGAGGAGCCAGGAGGUCUCCCUGCUCCAAUCUGCCUAAGGCUUCCUCUUCCUGCCUCCUCUUCCGGCCAACGUCUGCCCCUAUGUUCCCAGGACCCAAAUUCUGGAAACCUGUCUUUAAAAAUACAAUCAUCUCUAACUUUAUGAUGUCCAAAAGCUGUCUAGAAUGACAGAUUCGAAACUCUGAGACCUAGCAGAAGAUUUUGGCCCACAGUUAUUACGACUGUGGUUAACUGCUCUCCAGAAAA
rnacentral:lncRNA from 10 species